UAACAAAAACAUGUCCUUUUGAUAAUAAUUUAAGGUCUAAUCUGCCCACUGAUUAAUUAAAUGGCCGCGGUAUUUUGACCGUGCUAAGGUAGCAUAAUAAUUAGUUUCUUAAUUAGAAGCUGGAAUGAAUGAUUGAAUGAGAAAAUUUCUGUCUCAAUUUAAUUUAUUUUGAAUUUUAUUUUUAAGUUAAAAAGCUUAAAUAUAUUUAAAAGACGAGAAGACCCUAUAGAGUUUAAUUAUUUAAUAAUUAAUUUUAUUUUAUUUUUUAUUUUUAAUUUAUUUAUUAAGUAAUUUUGUUGGGGUGAUAGAAAAAUUUAAUUAACUUUUUUUAAAUUAUUACAUUAAUAAAUGAAUAAUUGAUCCAUAUUUUUUGAUUAAAAGAAUAAAUUACCUUAGGGAUAACAGCGUAAUUUUUUUUGAGAGUUCAAAUCGAAAAAAAAGAUUGCGACCUCGAUGUUGGAUUAAAAUUAAUUUUUGGUGUAGAAGCUAAAAAAUUAGGUCUGUUCGACCUUUAAAAUUUUACAUGAUCUGAGUUCA
rnacentral:rRNA from 1 species